AUAGCCAUAAACAUAAGUUUAUUAAUCAAACAAAUAAAUUCGCCAGAGAACUACGAGCCAUUGCUUAAAACUCAAAGGACUUGGCGGUGCUUUAUAUCCAUCUAGAGGAGCCUGUUCUAUAAUCGAUAAACCCCGAUAAACCUCACCACCCCUUGCCAAUACCAGUCUGUAUACCGCCAUCUUCAGCAAACCCUUAAAAGGAGUAACAGUAAGCUUAAUUAUUAUAAAAUAAAAAAGUUAGGUCAAGGUGCAGCCUAUGGGGUGGGUUGCAAUGGGCUACAUUUUCUAGACUAGAACACUACGAAUCCCUACAUGAAACUUUGUAGGAUGAAGGAGGAUUUAGCAGUAAACUAAAGAUAGAGAAUUUAGUUGAACAGAGCAAUGAAG
rnacentral:rRNA from 1 species